rnacentral:rRNA from 1 species
AUUGAACGCUGGCGGCAUGCCUUACACAUGCAAGUCGAACGGUAACAGGUCUUCGGAUGCUGACGAGUGGCGAACGGGUGCGUAAUACAUCGGAACGUGCCCGAUCGUGGGGGAUAACGAGGCGAAAGCUUUGCUAAUACCCCAUACGAUCUACGGAUGAAAGCGGGGGAUCUUCGGACCUCGCGCGGACGGAGCGGCCGAUGGCAGAUUAGGUAGUUGGUGGGAUAAAAGCUUACCAAGCCGACGAUCUGUAGCUGGUCUGAGAGGAUGAUCAGCCACACUGGGACUGAGACACGGCCCAGACUCCUACGGGAGGCAGCAGUGGGGAAUUUUGGACAAUGGGCGAAAGCCUGAUCCAGCCAUGCCGCGUGCAGGAUGAAGGCCUUUGGGUUGUAAACUGCUUUUGUACGGAACGAAAAGCCUCUUUCUAAUAAAGAGGGGUCAUGACGGUACCGUAAGAAUAAGCACCGGCUAACUACGUG